GAUGAACGCUGGCGGCGUGCUUAAUACAUGCAAGUCGAGCGAAGCGGGGACAGGUGAGUAACAUGUGGAUAACCUGCUUUAAGAAUGGGAUAACUUCGUGAAACCGGGACUAAUACGGACAAUUUUAGAUGGAUCCGCGCAGCAUUAGCUAGUUGGUAAGGGAACGGCUUACCAAGGCAACUAUGCAUAGCCGACCUGAGAGGGUGAGCAGCCACACUGGAACUGAGACACGGUCCAGACUCCUACGGGAGGCAGCAGUAGGGAAUCUUGCGCAAUGGGCGAAAGCCUGACGGAGCAACGCCGCGUGUGUGAAGAAGGUCUUCGGAUCGUAAAACUCUGUUAGUAGGGAAGCGGUACCUAAUCAGAAAGCAACGGCUAACUCCGUGCCAGCAGCCGCGGUAAUUC
rnacentral:rRNA from 1 species